UGUACUUCUAAUUCUAAAAUAAAAAAUAGCAUAUACUUUAUCUUACUAUACUUUUUCUCACCUCUCAAUUCUCUCACCAGUACACAACUGUUGUUCUCCGUGGUUCUGCCAUUUUGCCAUCUGUUCGACUAGGUAAACUUCAUCUACAUCAACAAAUUUAGAAUUGUGAUAUCUAUGUUUUAAGGAUCAUGCCCAUUGGAGAACCACCCACACCAAGGGUUGCACAUAUUUCUACAACUAAGGGUACUAUGGAAAAUUUGAUGUAAUUUUCCCUUAUAACUUACAUUUUUCAAUUCUUCUGAAGUUUAGAUACUAGAUCUGGGCCAAGAUAAGAAACAUAUAGCGACAAUUGAUAAGUAGAGAGCUACGACCUGUUGUUGUUGCCUUUCAUGUUAUGAUUUUCCUUUUUUUAUUUGUUGUAUUACUUUAUGUGUGUUGUGACAACAAGUUUUUGAAUUCGACACUACUGUGCAUGUGAAAUAUAAUGAAUUUGAUGUUGUUGUAUACUUUUUGCUUUAUGGGCUGAAAAUACGAUGGUUAUGUAUGAAUUUUUGUAUCAUGGUAUAUUGCAGAAGUGAACUAUGUAUCAUUGUGAAUUUUGAUAUCAUUGUAGAUUGUAGUUCUUGAUUGUUGUUUCCUUUAAUGCGUUACCAGAUUAAUGGCACAAGUAUUCUUAUCGUUCUUUCCCUAUUUAGCCUUUUCUUUUCUAAUAUAGCAAUGCUUAUCUGAAGUCUUCAAAUGUCAAAAUAGUAGGGUAAUAUGUCUAUUUCUGAGCUGUUGAACCCUUUCUAGUUUUUUCAGAAUUAACUGUUAUAGAAAGUAAAAGAGCAAAGGAGUUCAGUUUCUCAUUUACUAAAAAUGGAAGAACAAGAAAAGGAAAAAAGUGGAAUUCCUCGACAAGUAUUUGCUAUUCUAUUCAUUUAAAAAUAGAAAAAUACUAUAUACUGUUCUAGUUUAUUUUUCUUUAAUUCAAUUAUAAGUAACCUUAAUUAUUAUGGAAAUUUCUACAUUUAUGGAGAUGAUUUUUUUGUUAGUAUUUUUUGGAAAACUCAUAGUGUUUUCCUGAAGGUUUCUUGUAUCUCUCACACCAUUUGCUAGAGUUUGAUUGACACUAGCUGAUGUGGAAAUAAUGGAUACAAUCAUUAUAUUGAGAAGAAUAGAGUUCUUGCAUUUACUUCAUUGGGAAGAGCACAAGUUUUAAAAAAUUUAUUAUUGUUGCUACUGUUUAUUUUCAUGAAGGUAUUUUCGAAGAUAAUUUUUACAUUUUAGUGCUUUCUGUUGUCUUGAGGAUUGUACUUAAGAUUUGACAACAUUCGUAAUGCAAAAGUUUUGUUGUUGUGGUUCAA